UACGUAGGCAGCAAGCGUGGUUCGGAGUUACUGGGCGUAAAGAGUGCGUAGGUGGUGCCCUAAGUCUGUUGUGAAAUCUCCCGGCUUAACUGGGAGGGUGCGGUGGAAACUGGGGUGCUUGAGUGUGGGAGAGGUAAGCGGAAUUCCUGGUGUAGCGGUGAAAUGCGUAGAUAUCAGGAGGAACACCGGUGGUGUAGACGGCUUACUGGACCACGACUGACACUGAGGCACGAAAGCGUGGGUAGCAAACAGG
rnacentral:rRNA from 1 species